AUAAUUAUUCGUUCGCCGGAACCAGAAGUAAAAAUUGUUGUGGAUAGGGAUCCUAUAAAAACAUCUUUUGAGGAAUGGGCCAGACCCGGCCAUUUCUCAAGAACACUAGCUAAGGGCCCUGAUACUACCACUUGGAUCUGGAAUCUACAUGCUGAUGCUCACGAUUUCGAUAGUCAUACUGGUGAUUUGGAGGAGAUUUCUCGAAAAGUCUUUAGUGCUCAUUUCGGGCAACUUUCCAUUAUCUUUCUUUGGUUGAGUGGCAUGUACUUUCAUGGCGCCCGUUUUUCCAAUUAUGAAGCAUGGCUAAGUGAUCCUACUCACAUUGGACCCAGUGCUCAGGUAGUUUGGCCUAUAGUAGGGCAAGAAAUAUUGAAUGGUGAUGUAGGCGGGGGUUUCCGAGGAAUCCAAAUAACCUCUGGUUUUUUUCUUUGGCGAGCGUCUGGAAUAACUAGUGAAUUACAACUCUAUUGUACUGCAAUUGGUGCAUUGAUUUUUGCAGCGUUAAUGCUUUUUGCUGGUUGGUUCCAUUAUCACAAAGUCGCACCCAAAUUGGCCUGGUUCCAAGAUGUAGAAUCCAUGUUGAAUCACCACUUAGCGGAAUUAUUAGGACUUGGGUCUCUUUCUUGGGCGGGGCACCAAAUUCAUGUAUCUUUACCAAUUAACCAAUUUCUUGACGCUGGGGUGGAUCCUAAAGAGAUACCACUUCCUCAUGAAUUUAUCUUGAAUCGGGACCUUUUGGCUCAACUUUAUCCUAGUUUUGCCGAAGGAGCAACCCUUUUUUUCACUUUAAAUUGGUCCAAAUACGCAGAAUUUCUGACUUUUCGCGGAGGACUAGAUCCAGUAACCGGUGGUCUCUGGCUGACUGAUAUUGCGCACCAUCAUUUAGCUAUUGCUAUUCUUUUCCUAAUCGCAGGUCAUAUGUAUAGGACCAAUUGGGGUAUUGGCCAUGGACUUAAAGAUAUUUUGGAGGCUCACAAGGGCCCAUUUACAGGACAAGGCCAUAAGGGUCUUUAUGAAAUCUUAACAACGUCAUGGCAUGCUCAAUUAUCUCUUAACCUAGCUAUGCUAGGCUCUACAACCAUUGUUGUAGCUCAUCAUAUGUAUUCUAUGCCUCCCUAUCCAUACCUAGCUACUGACUAUGGUACACAACUUUCCUUGUUCAAACACCACAUGUGGAUUGGCGGAUUUCUAAUAGUCGGUGCUGCUGCACAUGCAGCAAUUUUUAUGGUAAGAGACUAUGAUCCAACUACUCGAUACAAUGAUCUAUUAGAUCGCGUCCUUAGACACCGCGAUGCAAUCAUAUCCCACCUUAACUGGGUAUGUAUAUUUCUAGGUUUUCACAGUUUUGGCUUGUACAUUCAUAAUGAUACCAUGAGUGCUUUAGGCCGUCCACAAGAUAUGUUUUCGGAUACUGCCAUACAAUUACAACCUAUCUUUGCUCAAUGGGUACAAAAUAUCCAUGCUACUGCGCCUGGCGUAACAGCUCCUGGUGCAACAACAAGUACUAGCUUAACGUGGGGAGGCGGCGAGUUAGUAGCAGUAGGUGGCAAAGUGGCUUUGUUACCUAUUCCAUUAGGAACCGCAGAUUUUUUAGUCCAUCACAUUCAUGCAUUUACCAUACAUGUGACUGUAUUAAUACUUUUGAAAGGUGUUUUAUUUGCUCGGAGUUCCCGUUUGAUACCCGAUAAAGCAAAUCAAGGUUUUCGCUUUCCUUGCGAUGGGCCUGGCCGAGGGGGAACAUGUCAAGUAUUCGCCUGGGAUCAUGUUUUCUUAGGUUUAUUCUGGAUGUACAAUGCAAUUUCGGUAGUCAUUUUCCAUUUCAAUUGGAAAAUGCAGUCGGGUGUUUGGGGUACUAUAAGUGAUCAAGGGGUGGUAACUCAUAUUACAGGGGGAAACUUUGCACAGAGUUCCUUUACGAUUAAUGGGUGGCUUCGAGAUUUCUUGUGGGCACAGGCAUCGCAAGUCAUUCAGUCUUAUGGUUCUUCAUUAUCUGCAUAUGGUCUUUUUUUCUUAGGUGCUCAUUUUGUCUGGGCCUUCAGUUUAAUGUUUUUAUUCAGCGUCCGUGGUUAUUGGCAAGAACUCAUUGAAUCUAUCAUUUGGGCUCAUAACAAAUUAAAAGUUGCUCCUGCUACUCAGCCUAGAGCCUUGAGCAUUAUACAAGGACGCGCUGUAGGAGUAACCCAUUACCUUCUGGGUGGAAUUGCCACGACAUGGGCAUUCUUCUUAGCGAGAAUUAUUGCAGUAGGAUAG
rnacentral:rRNA from 1 species